rnacentral:rRNA from 1 species
CCUACGGGAGGCAGCAGUGAGGAAUAUUGGUCAAUGGGCGCGAGCCUGAACCAGCCAAGUAGCGUGAAGGAUGACUGCCCUACGGGUUGUAAACUUCUUUUAUAAAGGAAUAAAGUGAGGCACGUGUGCCUUUUUGUAUGUACUUUAUGAAUAAGGAUCGGCUAACUCCGUGCCAGCAGCCGCGGUAAUACGGAGGAUCCGAGCGUUAUCCGGAUUUAUUGGGUUUAAAGGGAGCGUAGAUGGGUUGUUAAGUCAGUUGUGAAAGUUUGCGGCUCAACCGUAAAAUUGCAAUUGAUACUGGCAGUCUUGAGUACAGUUGAGGUAGGCGGAAUUCGUGGUGUAGCGGUGAAAUGCGUAAAUAUUAGGAGGAACACCAGUGGCGAAGGCGGCUUACUGGGCUUUAACUGACGCUGAGGCUCGAGAGCGUGGGUAGCAAACAGGAUUAGAUACCCUAGUAGUC